AUUAAACGCUGGCGGCAUGCCUUACACAUGCAAGUCGAACGGCAGCACGGGGGCAACCCUGGUGGCGAGUGGCGGACGGGUGAGUAAUACAUCGGAACGUGCCCUGGAGUGGGGGGAUAACGCAGCGAAAGCUACGCUAAUACCGCAUAUUCUGUGAGCAGGAAAGCAGGGGAUCGCAAGACCUUGCGCUUUGGGAGCGGCCGAUGUCGGAUUAGCUAGUUGGUGGGGUAAAGGCCGUACCAAGGCGACGAUCCGUAGCGGGUCUGAGAGGAUGAUCCGCCACACUGGGACUGAGACACGGCCCAGACUCCUACGGAGGCAGCAUGGGGAAUUUUGGACAAUGGGCGGAAGCCUGAUCCAGCCAUGCCGCGUGAGUG
rnacentral:rRNA from 1 species